rnacentral:rRNA from 1 species
GACGAACGCUGGCGGCGUGCUUAACACAUGCAAGUCGAACGAAGUGGCGCACGGGUGAGUAACGCGUAAUCAACCUGCCCUUCAGAGGGGGGCAACAGUUGGAAACGACUGCUAAUACCUCAUACUGAAGGAGGGGAUUGCGUCUGUUUAGCUAGUGGGAGGGGUAACGGCCCACCAAGGCGAGGAUCAGUAGCCGGUCGGAGAGGAUGAACGGCCACAUUGGGACGGGGAAACGGCCAAGACUCGUACGGGAGGCAGCAGUGGGGAAUAUUCCGCAAUGGGCGAAAGUCUGACGGAGCAACGCCGCGUGAAGGAUGACGGCCUUAGGGUUGUAAAGCUCUGUUAAUCGGGACGCGGUACCGGAAUAGAAAGCCACGGCUAACUACGUGCCAGAGGCCGGGGUAAUUC